rnacentral:tRNA from 1 species
GCGUCGCUAGCUCAGUUGGUAGAGCACCUGACUCUUAAUCAGGGUGUCCAGGGUUCGAACCCCUGGCGACGCA